AUAUUGUCUAUGCUCAUAUCCAUUGCGGAGUCCAGCCGAGUGGCCAAACAAGUAUAGAGUUCAUCUCUUUUAAGAUCCGGUACUCUGUCGUCUAGCUUGCGGCAACCGCUGAAACAUAUCAUCACGUUAAAUUCAGAUGUAUAACUACGAGACAAAAACGACAAUUAAUCCUGUUUAUUUUAGGACAUAAAAAUGACCAAUGAUGGUGUACCGUGAACAAACAUGGCACUCUGAGGCGGGCUAUGACACAAUAUCAUGGAUUCACUCAUUUUAACUGGUGAUAAAGAUUUGUCCAACCUGAGUGAAUGUGAAAUAAGGCUUCAAGACCUCCUCAACAUCUUGCGGUAGAGCCACAGGCAAUGAUAAAACCGUUUGGCACCACACUAAAAAUAUAGUAGAAUUUAAUUCCAAAGGCCUGUUAGGAGUAUCCAUGGGUAUGGACGACUUAUUUUUCUGUUCUCUAAUCUCCCACGGGCUGGGAAUUAUCUGAUUCUGCUGGAAGAACCGAUCUAUAGC